AGAGUUUGAUCCUGGCUCAGAUUGAACGCUGGCGGCAGGCCUAACACAUGCAAGUCGAGCGGUAGCACAGAGAGCUUGCUCUCGGGUGACGAGCGGCGGACGGGUGAGUAAUGUCUGGGAAACUGCCUGAUGGAGGGGGAUAACUACUGGAAACGGUAGCUAAUACCGCAUAACGUCGCAAGACCAAAGAGGGGGACCUUCGGGCCUCUUGCCAUCAGAUGUGCCCAGAUGGGAUUAGCUAGUAGGUGGGGUAACGGCUCACCUAGGCGACGAUCCCUAGCUGGUCUGAGAGGAUGACCAGCCACACUGGAACUGAGACACGGUCCAGACUCCUACGGGAGGCAGCAGUGGGGAAUAUUGCACAAUGGGCGCAAGCCUGAUGCAGCCAUGCCGCGUGUAUGAAGAAGGCCUUCGGGUUGUAAAGUACUUUCAGCGGGGAGGAAGGCGAUAAGGUUAAUAACCUAUCGA
rnacentral:rRNA from 1 species